GAAGGUGUGCUGUGAGGCAUGCUGGAGGUAUCAGAAGUGCGAAUGCUGACAUAAGUAACGAUAAAGCGGGUGAAAAGCCCGCUCGCCGGAAGACCAAGGGUUCCUGUCCAACGUUAAUCGGGGCAGGGUGAGUCGACCCCUAAGGCGAGGCCGAAAGGCGUAGUCGAUGGGAAACAGGUUAAUAUUCCUGUACUUGGUGUUACUGCGAAGGGGGGACGGAGAAGGCUAUGUCAGCCGGGCGACGGUUGUCCCGGUUUAAGCGUGUAGGUGUGUGUUCCAGGCAAAUCCGGUUCACUUUAACACUGAGGCGUGAUGACGAGGCACUACGGUGCUGAAGUGAUAAAUGCCCUGCUUCCAGGAAAAGCCUCUAAGCAUCAGGUAACACGAAAUCGUACCCCAAACCGACACAGGUGGUCAGGUAGAGAAUACCAAGGCGCUUGAGAGAACUCGGGUGAAGGAACUAGGCAAAAUGGUGCCGUAACUUCGGGAGAAGGCACGCUGAUAUGUAGGUGAAGUCCCUGCGGACGGAGCUGAAAUCAGUCGAAGAUACCAGCUGGCUGCAACUGUUUAUUAAAAACACAGCACUGUGCAAACACGAAAGUGGACGUAUACGGUGUGACGCCUGCCCGGUGCCGGAAGGUUAAUUGAUGGGGUUAGCGGCAACGCGAAGCUCUUGAUCGAAGCCCCGGUAAACGGCGGCCGUAACUAUAACGGUCCUAAGGUAGCGAAAUUCCUUGUCGGGUAAGUUCCGACCUGCACGAAUGGCGUAAUGAUGGCCAGGCUGUCUCCACCCGAGACUCAGUGAAAUUGAACUCGCUGUGAAGAUGCAGUGUACCCGCGGCAAGACGGAAAGACCCCGUGAACCUUUACUAUAGCUUGACACUGAACACUGGUCCUUGAUGUGUAGGAUAGGUGGGAGGCUUUGAAGCGUGGACGCCAGUCUGCGUGGAGCCGUCCUUGAAAUACCACCCUUUAAUGGCUGGUGUUCUAACGUGGACCCGUGAUCCGGGUUGCGGACAGUGUCUGGUGGGUAGUUUGACUGGGGCGGUCUCCUCCCAAAGAGUAACGGAGGAGCACGAAGGUUAGCUAAUCCUGGUCGGACAUCAGGAGGUUAGUGCAAUGGCAUAAGCUAGCUUGACUGCGAGAGUGACGGCUCGAGCAGGUGCGAAAGCAGGUCAUAGUGAUCCGGUGGUUCUGAAUGGAAGGGCCAUCGCUCAACGGAUAAAAGGUACUCCGGGGAUAACAGGCUGAUACCGCCCAAGAGUUCAUAUCGACGGCGGUGUUUGGCACCUCGAUGUCGGCUCAUCACAUCCUGGGGCUGAAGUAGGUCCCAAGGGUAUGGCUGUUCGCCAUUUAAAGUGGUACGCGAGCUGGGUUUAGAACGUCGUGAGACAGUUCGGUCCCUAUCUGCCGUGGGCGCUGGAGAAUUGAGGGGGGCUGCUCCUAGUACGAGAGGACCGGAGUGGACGCAUCACUGGUGUUCGGGUUGUCAUGCCAAUGGCACUGCCCGGUAGCUAAAUGCGGAAGAGAUAAGUGCUGAAAGCAUCUAAGCACGAAACUUGCCCCGAGAUGAGUUCUCCCUGAGACUAUAAGUCUCCUGAAGGAACGUUGAAGACGACGACGUUGAUAGGCCGGGUGUGUAAGCGCAGCGAUGCGUUGAGCUAACCGGUACUAAUGAACCGUGAGGCUUAACCUUACAACGCCGAAGCUGUU
rnacentral:rRNA from 1 species